rnacentral:snRNA from 1 species
CUGAGUUUAAGCAUAUCAAUAA